GUCAACUGGGAACCAGGCAAACAAUACACUACUGGAAGUGAAUUAGCACAUCUGCCUAGAGUCCCUUAGUUAAUGAAAAAGGUCCCAAAUGUGGGGAGCAGGAGCCCAAUCAGUUCUUCUUGAGUCGUUAAAAUACUACUGGCUGAAGUACUGCUGUGAUAAAGUGCUGUGGAGCGGGGUGACUAAGAGAAGGACGAACACACAUCAAAGGAACAAGCAUAACCUGGAUUCUGUAGCUGUAUGAAAUCCCACCUCUCCUGUGAUAUGAUUCAUUAUUAUAAACUGAGGCCAAGAGAAGGAAACAAAUGGACUAUAUAUACAGUGACUGAAUAAAUACCAUGUGCCAGCAGUGACCUAGGACCUUUACACGCAUGAUCCCAUUACGUCCUUGCAAGAAGCCUGUAAGGUGCUGAUUCCAAAAGCAUUCUGUAAUAAACACCCCACAGGCUAGUCUUUGUCUCAGAGACUGCUUUCCAGGGAACUUCAUCAGAAGGAGUCAUCUAAAGUCCCCUUUUGUGUUUGAAGUUUGUCUUCAUAAACCGUUUGGGCUGAGAUAUGAGGAUGAUCACAAGUUUAAAGCUUAAACAGCAAAGGAGAAGCUCAAGGAUAUACCCCUUGAAAUAAAAGCACCUGAUUCAAAGAACCGGUGUAUAUUCCAUGGCCAAUCAGCAUUGCUCAACAUUGAUCUCCUUGGCUUCGUGCAUCAAUUGAGUUAAUUUUGCUUAAACCUUGUUUGCAUCUGUCAUUUGCCUGCUUGGAAACCUCUCACACAUACUUGGGCCUUAUGGCCAAAGCUGAACUCUCUCGACUGGCAGUCAAGCCCUGCCCCCUUCCACC